rnacentral:rRNA from 1 species
AUGGACGCCGCUACGGUGAUCGGGUGUUUCCGGGACAGGAGCAUCCUCAUCACCGGCUCGACGGGCUUCCUCGGGAAAUUGCUGGUGGAGAAGAUACUAAGGGUCCAGCCGGACGUGAGGAAGCUCUACCUUCUUGUGCGCUCACCAGACGCCGCAUCCGCCCAGCAUCGUGUGCUCACGGAGGUUGUUGGAACAGAACUCUUUGAUGUUCUACGAAGGAGGCACGGAGCUGAUUUCAACUCUUUGAUAAAAGACAAAAUUUUCCCUUUAGCUGGAGAUAUCGUUUACGAAAAUUGUGCACUCCCAAGCUCUACGAUUGAGCAGAUAUCCAAGGAAAUUGAUGUCAUUGUCAGUGUAGCUGCAACUACUAGCUUCUACGAGAGAUAUGAUGUUGCUUUGGCAUCAAAUGCCUUGGGGGUCGCCCAUGUGUGCCAUUUAGCAAACAAGUGUGGUAAUCUCAAAAUGCUCCUUCAUGUUUCCACAGCUUUUGUAGCCGGUGAUCAAGAAGGCUUGUUAAUGGAGAAACCAUUCAAACCAGGUGAAUCACUAAGGAAAGGUUACAACUUGGACGUUCAAGCUGAGAUAAAAUUAGUUGAGAAUUUCAAGUCAACACUCAGGGUGCAGUCCUCUAGUGACAAGUUAGAAAAGAAGAAAAUGAAGGAACUUGGGUUGAAAAGGGCUAGGCACUUUGGUUGGCCUAACGUGUACUCACUCACAAAGGCUUUAGGGGAGAUGUUGCUUGGUAACUUAGGACGAGACCUUCCGGUUGUCAUAGUCCGCCCUAGCAUCAUACUCAGCACUUUCCAAGAUUCAAUGUCGGGAUGGAUAGAGGGGACUAGGACAAUUGAUAUGUUGUAUGUCGCCUACAAUGACCAAAAACUUCCAUGUUUCAUCGCCGACCAUAAUGUCAUAAGUGAUAUGAUACCAGGAGACAUGGUGAUUAAUUCAAUGAUGGUUGCCAUGGCCAUUCAUUGGGACCAGCACAGAGCUCAAGCAAUUUACCAUGUGACCUCAGGCCAUCGGAAUCCUCUGAACUAUUCUAUUACAGAGGAAUCACUUUAUGAGUACUUUCGUGCAAAUCCUCGUGUAUCCAAUGGUGGGAGGAUUGUCAAGAAUAAGAGGGUGCUCCUUUUCAAGAAAUACACACAUUUCCAUUUAUACAUGAUCCUACGGUAUAAGAUAGCAUUAGAGAUGUUGCAUGUGAUGAGUGUAUUUGGGGGUUCAUUUUCCAAGAGUUACAAUAAGCUGAACCGUGGCUACAAUUUCUUGAUGCUUGUCGCCAAGUUGUAUGCUCCAUAUGUCUUCUUUAAAGGGUGCUUUGAUGACACGAACAUGAGGAAGCUGUGGGUGGCGACCACUACAGACAAGCUAAAUGAGGAUUCCAUGUUUGAUUGUGAUCCUGCCUGCAUCAACUGGAGCUCGUAUCUCGUGAACACACACAUCCCGGCUGUUAUGGUGAAUUCACGCAAUGCCACAUGA